UUUCUCAAAUAUUAGGCCUAUGUCUGGAUAAUCAAGUAAAGCUAAGUUGCUUCAGUCCAGUAAAUUGUUUUUGUGGAAAAAUGGGGAGUCAAAAAGGCUGAGAACCACUGUAAAACGGGUUUUCUUUCUUGUGAUUACUUUCUACUACACUACAGAAAAAAACACUGCUGUUGAGGGCGUGUUGCCCCCUUGUGUCGGAAUAAUGUCACCAAACUGGUGAAAAGUUGUGUUAUUCUGCCAUCUACCGGUAGAAAACCAAACAGCUCAUUUCCCGAACACAACCGUGAAAGUAUAAGUGCACUGCCAGCUGCAAAGAAACACAAGAUAAUGAGUUGAUCCAGCAUUCUUAUGACCGAGGUGAAGCAGAGACAGAGCUCGGAUCAAUCAGGACGACGUCUUGGCUAAACCCCCGCCGUGCCUCCCCAGCCUGCCCACAGCCAAUCAAUAUAACUGCAGUUGGAGAUCCAGGUGAUCUUUGUCACCUCUGGAAGUGGAUGAGGACAUCAUCUCACAUGGACAUAACGGCUUAGUGGAGAUCAAAGCGGCGAACGGGAACUGAGGGAUCUGGAUGUGUUUUGUUCCGACAGGAUAAUCCGGGCUUCUCGCUGGGACGCUAAAACUGAGCUUCUUCGCUGCGGUACAUCAUCAUCCUCCCAACGCAACAAACCUGUCUUAAAUGUCACCUUUAUUCUUUGUUUCUAGUUGCUUCUUUUGCCAGAGAUGAUCUGAUGGCCUUUAUUUCCAGCGGGUGAAAUAGACCUCUGGUGGAUUGGUGAGGAGAUUGAGUCUAAUUGUUUCUAUCAGUCUUUCUUCGUUGGCGGGUUUCAGGCUCUGGCUGCGUCCCAGAUGUCAUUUUAGUAUCUGCUCGCUUUGAGAGCGUUCACUCAAAAGCUGAAAGUGGAGUAUCAUUCUUUCUGCUCUGAAGUGUAACUUUUUAUUCUAAUGAAAUAGUAUUUAUGUGAGUCGCUUUAAAAGCAACAAAUUGUUGACCCAGUACUUGUCGGAAAGCACGACUCCUUUUUAUGAUCUCUGGCUCAGGACGUUGUUCCUUUCUCCUACUGGCCGGGUUUUAUGCAUUCGAAUGCUGUCAGUAGUUCUACUCGAGCCUGAUAUAGCAGUGCGCCACCUGCUGUUCUCAUCCAGAACUGCAGGCGUAUCCAUAGACUUGU